rnacentral:rRNA from 1 species
UUGUUGCAGUUAAAAAGCUCGUAGUUGGAUUUUGGUUAAGAGGGCGCGGUCGGCCGUUUGGUCUGUACUGCGUUGUCUUGACUUCCUGAUGAGGACAUGCUCUUGGUUAACGCUGAGACAUGGAGUCAUCGUGGUUACUUUGAAAAAAUUAGAGUGUUCAAAGCGGGCUUACGCUUGAAUAUAUUAGCAUGGAAUAACACUAUAGGACUCCUGUCCUAUCUCGUUGGUCUCGGGAUGGGAGUAAUGAUUAAGAGGAACAGUUGGGGGCAUUCGUAUUUCAUUGUCAGAGGUGAAAUUCUUGGAUUUAUGAAAGACGAACUUCUGCGAAAGCAUUUGCCAAGGAUGUUUUCAUUAAUCAAGAACGAAAGUUGGGGGCUCGAAGAUGAUUAGAUACCAUCCUAGUCUCAACCAUAAACGAUGCCGACUAGGGAUUGGUGGAUGUUAAUUGAUGACUUCACCAGCACCUUAUGAGAAAUCAAAGUUUUUGGGUUCCGGGGGGAGUAUGGUCGCAAGGCUGAAACUUAAAGGAAUUGACGGAAGGGCACCACCAGG